rnacentral:tRNA from 1 species
UGUUCUGUAGCUUAGUUGGUAAGGCGCCGGUCUAGCGUACACGGAGUCGUGAGUUCGAGUCUCACUAGAAUGC